UGCGACUUGGUGUAACGCUAACAUGCCGGCCUCAUAAACCGGAGAAUACAAGUUCGAGUCUUGUGGUCGCAA
rnacentral:tRNA from 1 species